AGCUAUAUGCCCUUACAUAAAGCACGUCCUGCUCAGUGAACAUAAACAGCCGCAGAAUUUUAUACUGUGCUAAGGUAGCAUAAUCACUUGUCUUUUAAUUAAAGAAUAGAAUGAACGGAUACCCGAAUUUUAGCCUGUUUCAUGCUUACAUAAUAAAAUUACCAAAAAGUAAAAACUCUUUUUCUUAAAAAAAAGACGAUAAGACCCUAAAGAACUUCACUACAGUUUAGCUGGGGCGGCUUUACAAAAAAAUCUUAUCUGCAAUCCCUUCAACCUACAUCUAUCAUCCAAGUUACCUUAGGGAUAACAGCAUAAUAUAAUUUUAUAGCUCAUAUAAAAAAUUAUGAUUAUGACCUCGAUGUUGAAUUAAUAACCUACUAAACGAAAAAAAUUAGUAAGAAAAGUCUGUUCGACUUAUAAAUAUUUACA
rnacentral:rRNA from 1 species